GACUUCUACAUCCGCUCUGUAAAGCAGAUACUCUUACUCCUGAUCCAUAUGUGACUAGAUACAAAUUCUUUUAAGUCAAAUUUAAGUGUAAAAUUACAAAUAGGAAAGAAGCAUGAAGGACAGAGGUACCUGAUCGUUUGUAAAAACACGGAAAAUAUAAAGAUCUGCGUCUGGAGCAAAA